CCUACGGGUGGCAGCAGUGGGGAAUAUUGCACAAUGGGGGAAACCCUGAUGCAGCGACGCCGCGUGAAGGAAGAAGUCUUUCGGUAUGUAAACUUCUUUCAGCACGGACGAAACUGCCUGUCCCUGUCUAAGACGCCCCGGCCCACUACGUGUCAGCAGCCGCGGUAAUACGGAGGGGGCAAGCGUUAUCCGGAUUUACUGGGUGUAAAGGGAGCGUAGGCGGUGCAGCAAGUCAGAAGUGAAAGCCCGGGGGUCAACUCCGGGACUGCUUUUGAAACUGUUGGACUAGAGUGCAGGAGAGGUAGGUGGAAUUCCUAGUGUAGCGGUGAAAUGCGUAGAUAUUAGGAGGAACACCAGUGGCGAAGGCGGCUUACUGGACUGUAAAUGACGCUGAGGCUCGAAGGCGUGGGGAGCAAACAGGAUUAGAUACCCGUGUAGUC
rnacentral:rRNA from 1 species